GAUAGAUCGAGAAAGAGAGCAAAGGAGGGUGAUAAAGGAGGUGCCGUUACUGCUGCGUUCAAGUUUAGAAAGGAAAACCCUAGAAUUAUAUUAGCCGAAGAAAGAAGAGAAAGGGAGAGAAUAGAGGUAGAGAGACAAAGAGAACGAAGAAGAAGGAGAUUAUAGAGAGAGGGCUGAGUAGGUUCCGCUACCGCUGCGUUCAAGUCCAAAAAUAAUAAGAUUGAACAAAGAAGAGAAAGGGAGAGAACAGAGAUAGACAGAUAGGACAAAGAAGAAGGUUAGAGAGAGAAGAAAACCUCAUUCAAGCUAUGGACUUGGAUCAAGCUAAUGCAUGAAUUAGGAGGGAAACUAAUUAUGGCAAGUAUGGUUGGGCUGCCCGGAUGGAUGAACCUUCACCUACAUGUUUCAUAUGCUUUGGAUGAAAGCCGUUCAAGCCUCUAGACUUGUUUGGAGCGCCCAAGUAUCGAUUGUCCAUCUUCUUUUGUGUGCUGGCUUCAGUCGAACGUCAUUGUGCAUAGGGCAACAAUAUGCAUAAAACGAUAACACAUUGUCGUUGGCUUCACUGUGCAUUGGCUUCUAAUGAACUGGAACUCAAAGCCAGAUGUGUUCAUCUUGGAAAGGAUGGUCUAUAGUAUCUGUUUUGUUUUAUUGCAACAUUGAGCUCCUAUGGCUACCCUACACCAGACUUCAUCAGAGAAGAAGUCUAAUAAAAGGCCAAAGAUUGAAGCAGAGAAUCAAACUAAGGGACAAACCGGGUGUUAGAAAAUCAUUUUACCCUAAUGCCAUUUAUGUUUUCUUCUAUUAUGUGAUUCACUCUAAUCGUUUUCCUAAUCUGAUUUGACUUACUCAAAUUAUUAAAGAUUGCCAUCUCUUCUCGUUCAAAUUAAUUAUUUGCUAUUGUUUUUUCUUGAGGUACCAUCCUAUUGCAUCCAAAAUUGCAAACAAUCAAGAUUUAUUUUGGACCUGAUGUUGUGCAUGAGUCAAUGAUGGUGAAUUGGGUUAUCGCUACUUCCGAGAGCGGAUUGCUUGAGGCACUUCGGCGAAAACAGCUAAGCUUCUCUUUGCUUUUAUUUAUUCUAUUCUCAGGAAAUGUUUGUUGCAUAUGGAUGAGCAAUUUAGAAUUAUUGGUUUGAAUUAGUUUUUGUAUAACCAAUUAGUUUGGGGUUUUUAAUUGGAAUUCUUGCCUAAUUCACGGGCUGCAUUGAGUUUUGUUGCAAAUAGGAGACUUGUUCCUAAAACAUUUGAAGUUUUGAAGCUGUUUUAGAGACUUUCAAUAUAUUAGGAGUUGUCUCCAUUUUCUCUCAUAUCUUCAACAUUUAAUUCAAAAAACCAAAUUAAGCAUGGCUUAGUGGCCUGUUCAUUUCCUACUUAAUAGCCUCAAAAAUAGAAACUAUUCAAGUUGGGUUUUGUGCAUUUUGACUCUCUUAAAUGCUACCUGUUUUUCUAUUUCCCAAAUUUCUUUAACUGGUUUUCAAGUGGAUUUUACUGUAUUUAAAUCAAAGUAAAUUAAAUUAUAUUGAUGACUAAAUCAUAUUGGUUGCAACAAUUGAUCUUAUUCUUUGAAUCUAAAAAUAUUUGAUGCACGUUACUAGAAUAUAUAUUUGAUUUGUGUCUCUUUUAUUGAAUUGUUGCACUAGAGGAUAACAUGUCUGUUUUUGACUACUAAUCUUUCCUCAUAAUAUUGUUAUUUUUUUUUGGUGAUGAUCAAUAAUGGUUUAAAAUAAGUUGAUCAAUAGGUGUUUGAGCAUUUGAUUGUUGGGAAGCCAAUUGAUAAUCCACUAUAUUUGAACAUUUGCUUCCUAAGAAGUUAAUUGAUAUUCUACCUACUUACUAUUGUGUUUUCAUAAAAGCACUGAUAUUUGGACUCUUUGAAUCAAUUAAUUUUUAGCCACUAGGCAAGAGACCCAACAUUUUUUUUGGGUCUCCCUCAUUGGUUCUUAAAAUAAAAGGUUUUUCAUUCAAUCAUAAUGUGCAUGGUUCACUUUCUUGGGUCUUUGUGAAAAUUAUACAUUGGCCUCUUUGUUAAAUCGUUGAAUAGUCACAUAAAAAAAACUAAUAUUGUAAACUUUUGUUGAAUGAUAGAGGGAGCAAACAUUUUUGACUA